AUAGUACUUCCUCCAUUCCGAAUUACUUGUCGCACGUAUGAAUGUAUCUAGAUGUAUUUUAGUUUUAGAUACAUCCAUUUCAGCGACGAGUAAUUUGGAACGGAGGGAGUAGCUG
rnacentral:pre_miRNA from 1 species